rnacentral:rRNA from 1 species
AAGUUCGACGGGCCCCGCACAAGCAGCGGAGCGUGUGGUUUAAUUCGAUGAUACACGAAGAACCUUACCAGGGUUUGACAUGCUAGUGGUAGGGAUCCGAAAGGUGACCGACCCUCGGGGAGCUAGCACAGGUGCUGCAUGGCUGUCGUCAGCUCGUGUCGUGAGAUGUUCGGUUAAGUCCGCUAACGAGCGCAACCCUUGCUGUGUGUUACAUGUGUCACACGGGACUGCCGGUCUUAAACCGGAGGAAGGUGGGAUGACGUCAAGUCAGCAUGGCCUUUAUGUCCUGGGCUACACACACGCUACAAUGGCCGGUACAAUAGGUUGCGAAGCCGCGAGGCGGAGCCAAUCCUCAAAGCCGGCCUCAGUUCAGAUUGCAGGCUGCAACCCGCCUGCAUGAAGAUGGAGUUGCUAGUAACCGCAGGUCAGCUAUACUGCGGUGAAUACGUUCCCGGGGCUU